AAAAAAAUCUUCCUUUUCCAGGAUCUGGAUUCUGUUUGCUAAAACAAGGGUUGCUUAAUGAAGACAAUGCCUUAUUAUUUCCUUAAGUGACACAGCAGGGCCCAAAGUAUUACAGGGCCCAGGGUUCUUUCAGCCUCUGCCAAGGACACAAGGAACAAAGGAACAAGCAGUUGUGUGUGGAAAAUAGAACUCUCUGCUUAGGCUACAGCUUGUGAACACAGUCCUCGGAGUAAGAAGGCGCCUCUGCUCUUCUACAUCCCACAGGCUGGGCCUUUCUCCGCUUUUUCCUGUAAGUGACUCAGAGGUUGUCGAAAAAGUGCAAAACAGCAGGGACUUAAAACAAAGGGGAAGUGGAGGAGGGGUGACAUUCGGCUCCUCUCCAGAAGCACAUUCGUAGUGAGCCACCUACUGGUGCUGGUCUUUUCCCUCGCCUCUUCUUCAAGGAUCCUUUAGGAGAAUCUAGCAGCUCCCAUCUCAUUGACACCGCAGUUCAGCACAGCUAAAUACUCGAUUGUAUUCUUACAAUCUUUCUAAAAUUUUCUCUUCUACCAAGGAGUUACUGAGCAGACACUCAACAUUAUUUCCCCAAAAGGUCUCUUCAGUUGCCUAAGCCCAGGAGUGGAGAGGGGAGAAGGAGGAUGAAGUCCAGGGGAUUCUGCGAAAUGCAACCCCCAAGUAAGAGGAAAAGUGACUGCACAGUCUGAACUACGUGACCCUCAUUAUAGUGAGGGGAAACAAGAGCUCAUUACGAGCAGGGAAUGACUGAUUAUUCUCUUGCAUUGUACUCUCCCGAGCACUUAGAGCAGUGCUCGACACAUAGUAAUUGCUCAAUAAAUACCACUGAUUG